CCAUGGCAACGGGUGGAUCAGAAUCUGGGUCUCCCUGUUUUCAAACUGACAUCUUAACCUACUAUACCACACUGACUUCAUUCUGAUGAGCUACCAGAACAGAGAAGGAAAAUUAGAACAGAAGAGUUUCUACAGGCACCCAAUUCCCCUGUGUGUAUGUGAGUUUUAAUCUUCAAGAAGGGUUCAAGAAAAAAAAGAAAAGAAAAGGAGUGUGUUUGUCAUCCUUUCUACAAUUGAUUAAAAAGAAAAAGAAAAAAAAGAUUCUUCACCAGCCUCCACAAAGUGAUACAAGACUGAAGUUGAAAAGUUUAAAUCAGCACUCAGUGGAAACAAACUAAGUGGACAAAGUGAAUGGAUGAGAAGAAAAUAAGAGCUGAAAACAUUUUUAGGUGGCACAAAGAGUUUCCAUCAAGAAUCUCAUCAGAAAGCAGCCUCCUUCCAAGCAGUAGCUAUAAUCAAAACACCUUCACUUCUAAACAGCAACAUAUACAGCUGUGUGCAUCUACCACAUCUGGUUUUCUCAGCAAAAACAAUUUUCAUGCAAUUACUUGCAGACAACACUAUUAUUUUCUGUUCUGGCAAAUACAGUAAUAUUUCUAGAUGGUAUUGUAAAUCAAUAAAUUGUACCAGAUACGUGUAAUCUGUUGAAUGGGAAGAA